GUGUCCGUAGUUAAAUGGAUAUAACCGCGCCCUCCUAAGGCGCUAUUGUGAGUUCGAUUCUCGCCGGGCAUACCA
rnacentral:tRNA from 1 species